GAUGGAGUUUUGCUCUUUUUGCCCAGACUGGAGUGCAAUGGCGUGAUCUCAGAUCACCGCAACUUCUGCCUCCUGGGUUCAAGAGAUCCUCCUGCCUCAGCCUCCUGAGUAGCUGGGAUUACAGGCAUGCACCACCAUGCCCAGCUAAUUUUGUAUUUUUAGUAGACACAGGGUUUCUCCAUAUUGGUCAGGCUGAUCUCGAACUCCUGACCUUGUGAUCCACCCGCCUCAGCCUCCCAAAGUGCUGGGAUUACAGGAUUACAGGCGUGAGCCACUGUGCCCGGCCCACCUUUUUUUUUUUUUUGAGACGGAAUCUCGCUCUUUCACCCAGGACGGAGUGCAGUGGUGCUAUCUCGGCGCACUGCAAGCUCCGCCUCCCGGGUUCAUGCCAUUUUCCUGCCUCAGCCUCCGGAGUAGCUAGGACUACAGGAGAAUGGCGUGAACCCGGGAGGUGGAGCUUGCACUGAGCCGAUAUAGUGCCACUGCACUCCAGCCUGGGCGAAAGAGCGAGACUCUCAAAAAAAAAAAAGAGUAGAUCCCUAGGAAUCACCUACAAUUAGAGUGGGGUAGAAGACUAAGAAACCCACAAAGGGGAGAGAGAGAGAGGGAGAGAGGGAGAGAGAGAGAGGAAAGGGUAGUGAGGGAGGGAGGAGAAGAACCUGGAAAGUAAUGGCACCAUGGAGGCCAAAGGAGUAGAGUUGCACAGAGAAAGCAGCAACAGUGCCGAACAGAAACCUCAGGAAGAUCAGCAAACACUUAGAAGACAUAGGAUCAAGGGAGACUCAUGUUAGGAUGUGAGGGGCUCACAUAUAUUUACAGGCUGAGAGAGAGGAGCCUAUAAAAAGGAGUAAUCACAGAAAACAGGAAAGGCAAUAAACGAUGAGGCAGUCUGACAGGAGACAGGAAGGAAAGGGAACAAGGGCAGAGGUGGAAGGGUAAGCCCAGCAGCAAGGACGCCUCAUCCAGUGACACAGGAGACUAAGAGGUAAAUGUCACUGUGCAGUGGUGGAGGGGCUCUGAGGAGCUCACACUGGAUGUCUCCAUUUUCCUGAUGAAGGAGGUACUGACCCUGUCUGCAGUCAACAGAGGGGAACUGGGAACGGCCAUCGAGGUGUGGAGUGGCUGUCCAGUCAACCUCUCUUGCUUUGCUGUUGCUAUCAAAGGACACAGCACUUUAAAUUCCAAAAAGUGAUAUGUUAUUUAUUUAUUUAUACCUUGCCCUGUUCCAGAAAGAAUU
rnacentral:lncRNA from 10 species